AAUAUACCUGAUAAAAGGGUUAUCUUGAUAGGAUAAAUAAUGUAAUUUUACUCUUAUUA
rnacentral:tRNA from 1 species